CUGGUUGAUCCUGCCAGUAGUCAUAUGCUUGUCUUAAAGACUAAGCCAUGCAUGUCUAAGUAUAAAUAAUAUACAGUGAAACUGCGAAUGGCUCAUUAAAACAGUUAUAGUUUAUUCGAUAAUCAAACCUACAUGGAUAACCGUAGUAAUUCUAGAGCUAAUACAUGCUGUCAAACCUAACUUCUGGAAGGGUUGUAUUUAUUAGAUAUAAACCAAUGCCCUCGGGCGUUGUGAUGAUUCAUAAUAACUGAGCGAAUCGAGGCCGUGCCUUGAUGGAUCGUUCAAGUUUCUGCCCUAUCAGCUUUCGAUGGUAGUGUAUUGGACUACCAUGGCAGUCACGGGUAACGGGGAAUUAGGGUUCGAUUCCGGAGAGGGAGCCUGAGAAAUGGCUACCACUUCUAAGGAAGGCAGCAGGCGCGUAAAUUACCCAAUCCUGAUUCAGGGAGGUAGUGACAAGAAAUAACAACUCGGGUCCCUCGUGGAUUGCGAGAUUGCAAUGAGAACAAUUUAAACCACUUAUCCAGUAACAAUUGGAGGACAAGUCUGGUGCCA
rnacentral:rRNA from 1 species